rnacentral:rRNA from 1 species
UCAUCAUGGACAGUCCUGUUUGAGAGGCCCAAAGCUGCUUGCGACGUCUAUGCCUCAUGUGGCCCAUUCAGCUAUUGCGACCUCACUAGUACUGUGCCGGCAUGCAAAUGCUUCGAUGGGUUUGAGCCUGACAGUCUUAACUUUUCAAGCGGUUGUCGGCGAACAGAGGACCUGAAUUGUGGCAAGCAAAGUCAGUUCAUAACUUUGACCGGGAUGAAGGUCCCUGACAAGUUCUUGCAUUUAAAGAACAGAAGCUUCGAUGAGUGUGCCGCCGAGUGCAGCAACAACUGCUCAUGUACGGCGUAUGCUUACGCCAAUUUGAGCAGUGGCGGUGCUAGCGAUGACCCGACAAGGUGCUUGGUUUGGACAGGGGAGCUUAUCGACACAGGAAAGUCAACUAACUCUGGCGAGAACCUGUACCUUCGCCUUGCUGAAUCUCCUGGUAUGCACUGUCCCAUUGCCUUAUGA